CCAGACUCCUACGGGAGGCAGCAGUGGGGAAUAUUGGACAAUGGGGGGAACCCUGAUCCAGCGACGCCGCGUGAGUGAAGAAGUAUUUCGGUAUGUAAAGCUCUAUCAGCAGGGAAGAAAGAAAUGACGGUACCUGACUAAGAAGCCCCGGCUAACUACGUGCCAGCAGCCGCGGUAAUACGUAGGGGGCAAGCGUUAUCCGGAUUUACUGGGUGUAAAGGGAGCGUAGACGGCAGUGCAAGUCUGAAGUGAAAGGCGGGGGCCCAACCCCCGAACUGCUUUGGAAACUGUGCUUCUGGAGUGCAGGAGAGGCAAGUGGAAUUCCUAGUGUAGCGGUGAAAUGCGUAGAUAUUAGGAGGAACACCAGUGGCGAAGGCGGCUUGCUGGACUGUAACUGACGUUGAGGCUCGAAAGCGUGGGGAGCAAACAGGAUUAGAUACCCCAGUACAA
rnacentral:rRNA from 1 species